AACUAUAAUGUGGACAACUCUUCAGCAAAUCCUUGAACCGUUCCCAACAAUAAUAUAAAGUUUCAUUCUCUUGCUGAAGAAAUCCUGCUAUGUCAUUCCUCAACUU
rnacentral:snoRNA from 1 species